rnacentral:rRNA from 1 species
AGCGAACGCUGGCGGCAGGCUUAACACAUGCAAGUCGAACGGGCACUUCGGUGCUAGUGGCAGACGGGUGAGUAACGCGUGGGAACGUGCCUUUCGGUUCGGAAUAAUCCAGGGAAACUUGGACUAAUACCGGAUACGCCCUUCGGGGGAAAGAUUUAUCGCCGAAAGAUCGGCCCGCGUCUGAUUAGCUAGUUGGUGAGGUAAAGGCUCACCAAGGCGACGAUCAGUAGCUGGUCUGAGAGGAUGAUCAGCCACAUUGGGACUGAGACACGGCCCAAACUCCUACGGGAGGCAGCAGUGGGGAAUAUUGGACAAUGGGCGCAAGCCUGAUCCAGCCAUGCCGCGUGAGUGAUGAAGGCCUUAGGGUUGUAAAGCUCUUUUGUCCGGGAAGAUAAUGACUGUACCGGAAGAAUAAGCCCCGGCUAACUUCGUGCCAGCCGCCGCAGUAAUAC